rnacentral:rRNA from 1 species
GCUAGGAUGAACGCUGGCGGCGUGCCUAAUACAUGCAAGUCGAACGAGGCGGAAGGGAGCUUGCUCCUGGAUGCCUAGUGGCGAACGGGUGAGUAACACGUAGGUAACCUGCCCUUAAGCUUGGGAUACCCAGAGGAAACUUUGGCUAAUACCGGAUAACAACAGAGGAGGCAUCUCCUUUGCUUGAAAGGCCCUUCACGGGGUCACUUAAGGAUGGACCUGCGGCGCAUUAGCUAGUUGGUGAGAUAAAGCCCACCAAGGCGAGGAUGCGUAGCCGACCUGAGAGGGUGAUCGGCCACAUUGGAACUGAGACACGGUCCAAACUCCUACGGGAGGCAGCAGUAAGGAGUUUUCGGCAAUGGGGGAAACCCUGACCGAGCAACGCCGCGUGAGUGAUGAACCGGCCCUAUGGGUUGUAAAGCUCUGUUGUAAGGGACGAAUGAUUCGCUUAGGAAAUGAAGCGAGUUUGACGGUACCUUACCAGAAAGCCACGGCUAACUACGUGCCAGCAGCAGC